CAGUCGCCGCGGUAAUACGGAGGGAGCUAGCGUUAUUCGGAAUUACUGGGCGUAAAGCGCACGUAGGCGGCUUUGUAAGUUAGAGGUGAAAGCCCGGGGCUCAACCCCGGAAUUGCCUUUGAAACUGGAAAGCUAGAAUCUUGGAGAGGUCACUGGAAUUCCGAGUGUAGAGGUGUAAUUCGUAGAUAUUCGGAAGAACACCAGUGGCGAAGGCGACUGACUGGACAAGUAUUGACGCUGAGGUGCGAAAGCGUGGGGAGCAAACAGGAUUAGAUACCCCUGUAGUCCCUGUCUCUUAUAC
rnacentral:rRNA from 1 species